rnacentral:lncRNA from 1 species
GGAUGAUUCUUCCAACCAGGGUUAUAGGUAUUCGAGUAUGGAUCAUUAUAAGGCUUUUGGUAGGAGUUCAUAGCAUUUGCUUGAUCGUGCAAGACUUCUUUGAAUGCCGGUAUGGUGGGACAAUCAGUAGUAGUAUGACCCGACAUAUCGCAGAUACCACAACACUCGUUUCUAAGCUCUAUAGUCUUGACAGGCUCAACCUUCCU